rnacentral:rRNA from 1 species
UACAGAGGGUGCAAGCGUUAAUCGGAAUUACUGGGCGUAAAGCGCAUGUAGGUGGCACUAUAAGUCUGAUGUGAAAGCCCUGGGCUUAACCUGGGAAUUGCGUUGGAAACUGUAGAGCUAGAGUUGGAUAGAGGGUCGUGGAAUUUCCGGUGUAGCGGUGAAAUGCGUAGAGAUCGGAAAGAACACCCGUGGCGAAGGCGGCGACCUGGGUCCAAACUGACACUGAGGUGCGAAAGCAUGGGGAGCAAACAGG